rnacentral:misc_RNA from 1 species
GAUGAAGAACGCAGUGAAAUGCGAUAAGUAAUGUGAAUUGCAGAAUCCAGUGAAUCAUCGAAUCUUUGAACGCACAUUGCGCCCGCCAGUAUUCUGGCGGGCAUGCCUGUCCGAGCGUCAUUUCAACCAUCAAGCCCCAGGCUUGUGUUGGGGACCUGCGUCCGACGCAGGCCCUGAAAACCAGUGGCGGGCUCGCUGUCCACACCGAGCGUAGUAACUAACCUCGCUACGGGAGCGGCGCGGGCGCCUGCCGUAAAACCCCCAAUUUUCACAAGGUUGACCUCGGAUCAGGUAGGAAUACCCGCUGAACUUAAGCAUAUCAAUAAGCGGAGGA